UCUAAUUAAUAAAGAAAUAUAGGAUUAACUUUCUAUAAUAACGAUCUGCUUAGAGAUUCAUUUAGAAGCAAGGGAUCUCACAAACACGUCGAUGAGGACUUUUGGAUGAGGGAGGAUUUGGAUGUUGAAUCAGGCCGCGGUUGUUGGUAAUUCUUUCUAUUAUCCAAGAACAAAGAGAUUCGAUUCGAGCGUGUGAAGAAUUGCGGCGU
rnacentral:lncRNA from 1 species